rnacentral:rRNA from 1 species
CUACGGGCCGCAGCAGUGGGGAAUUUUGGACAAUGGGCGAAAGCCUGAUCCAGCAAUACCGCGUGCAGGAAGAAGGCCCUCGGGUUGUAAACUGCUUUUGUACGGAACGAAACGGCGCGCUCUAAUAAAGUGCGCUAAUGACGGUACCGUAAGAAUAAGCACCGGCUAACUACGUGCCAGCAGCCGCGGUAAUACGUAGGGUGCGAGCGUUAAUCGGGAUUACUGGGCGUAAAGCGUGCGCAGGCGGUUUUGUAAGACAGGCGUGAAAUCCCCGGGCUCAACCUGGGAAUUGCGCUUGUGACUGCAAGGCUAGAGUACGGUAGAGGGGGGUAGAAUUCCGCGUGUAGCAGUGAAAUGCGUAGAUAUGCGGAGGAACACCGAUGGCGAAGGCAGCCCCCUGGACCUGUACUGACGCUCAUGCACGAAAGCGUGGGGAGCAAACAGGAUUAGAUACCCCGGUAGUC